rnacentral:rRNA from 1 species
CACCUUUGACAUGUACGGAAGUUGCCAGAGAUGGCUUCGUGCUCGAAAGAGAGCCGUAACACAGGUGCUGCAUGGCUGUCGUCAGCUCGUGUCGUGAGAUGUUGGGUUAAGUCCCGCAACGAGCGCAACCCUUGUCAUUAGUUGCUACGAAAGGGCACUCUAAUGAGACUGCCGGUGACAAACCGGAGGAAGGUGGGGAUGACGUCAAGUCCUCAUGGCCCUUAUAGGUGGGCUA